UCUACGGGACGCAGCAGUAGGGAAUAUUGGACAAUGGGCGCAAGCCUGAUCCAGCCAUGCCGCGUGCAGGAAGAAGGCCUUCUGGGUCGUAAACUGCUUUUCUCUGGGGAUAAAAAGACCCUGCGGGGUACAUUGAAGGUACCAGAGGAAUAAGCCACGGCUAACUACGUGCCAGCAGCCGCGGUAAUACGUAGGUGGCUAGCGUUGUCCGGAUUUAUUGGGUUUAAAGGGUGCGUAGGCGGUUCCAUAAGUCAGUGGUGAAAUACGGCAGCUCAACUGUCGAGGUGCCAUUGAUACUGCGGAACUUGAGUACUGAUGAGGCAGGCGGAAUUGACGGUGUAGCGGUGAAAUGCUUAGAUAUCGUCAAGAACACCGAUAGCGAAGGCAGCUUGCCAAGCAGUAACUGACGCUGAGGCACGAAAGUGCGGGGAUCAAACAGGAUUAGAUACCCUGGUAGUCCGCACAGUAAACGAUGAUUACUCGAUGUUGGCGAUACACAGCCAGCGUCUUAGCGAAAGCGAUAAGUAAUCCACCUGGGGAGUACGCCCGCAAGGGUGAAGCUCAAAGGAAUUGACGGA
rnacentral:rRNA from 1 species